rnacentral:rRNA from 1 species
UACGGGGGGAGCAAGCGUUGUUCGGAUUUACUGGGCGUAAAGGGCGCGUAGGCGGUCAGCACAAGUCAGUUGUGAAAUCUCCGGGCUUAACUCGGAAAGGUCAACUGAUACUGUGCGACUAGAGUGCGGAAGGGGCAACUGGAAUUCUCGGUGUAGCGGUGAAAUGCGUAGAUAUCGAGAGGAACACCUGUGGCGAAGGCGGCAUCCUGGACCGGCAUUGACGCUGAGGCGCGAAAGCCAGGGGAGCAAACGGG